AUUUUCCAGGGCUAAAAACAAGAGCUUCAUUGGUAUAGGGCUGGAGUCACCCUUGUUUCUAUCCCAUCCAUAGCUUCAGAACUCUAUCUUUACCACCAGAUGCUACUUUUUCGCCGUCUGGACUCCAGUCGACCGCGAAAACCUUCCAAGUUCAGAGAUAGACAAAGUUAUCUAAAAGUUAUGUAGAGAAAGAGACUGAAAAUGCCUGUGGCAGAAGCUUACCUCGUCAGCAUGGCCGGGAAGGUCUUGUUUCAAUUUUUUUGUCCGGAUAUCCCAAACCUAAUACAGACAUAAAUGGUUUUCUUAACGACUUGUUUUUAACAGGACAAGACCAAGAGUAAUGCAAACACAUACCUUCAAGGUUGAAUCUUUGCUCCCGCUCAAAAGUAGCCUACUGUCGGCUGACCAGCUGUGCAAAACAAAAGGAUAGUAACUAACAGUUGACUGUUGAAGUAAUGGAAGAUUUGAGUUUUAUGGCAAAUUUUAACCUUAUCUGAUAUACAGGUCCAACAUGACCUCUGAAUGCAGCAACAAAUUUUCCUGUGGUUCCAUUCCAUAAUUUUACUGAUUUAUCGAAUGAGGCACUUGCUAUCCAUUGACCAUCCGGAGAAAAAUAAACGUGAUUAACCAGCUGCAAAAAUUGAAAUUCAUGGUUCGAUGCUCAGAACAAAAAAUGAAGGCCGUGUUCACCGUCAAAGCACACAUGCACACGGAGAAAACCAUCCUUUACAGCACAGAAAGAUUGUUAACCUGUUGAUGACCUGUCAUGCGAGUUUUUGGGUGCUUGCUGACAGCAGGCUCCCAUAGAAACAUUGUGAAAUCAUCUGAUCCUGAUACCAACCUCUCAGGGGCAUUACCUCUCAUUUUGUUGUACCUUUCAAGUGCUACCUGGCAAUGAAACAAGAGCAAUGUUAAGUACUGUGUGGAUGGAGAAAUUACAAUUUGGAGCAACUAAAUAGCAUCAAAGAUUCUUGUUCUUCAUUUGCUCUUUGCCUCUCGUUGGUGUAUACUGUUGCCCUGUCACCUGCUAAAUGAGAAUAUGGGAUGCUUCGAGAUCCACAAGAUAUAGGCAUGCAUAAUCUCAGUAGUUAAGGAAAGCAUAAGGCAAAAGAUAGAAGAAGCCCUAAGUUUUAGGUUUAGACCCAGUUCAGUGAAAGACACCAGAUUUUGUUAACUUCCAUCUGAGUUCCAAGAGUCAAAACAGUGAGGUUCUUUUUCUCUAUAUGUUAGAGAGGCCCCCAGCUUUUGUACCUUUCUAUUUGUUGCCAUCGGUUUCCUCACAAAUCCUCAUAUAGUAUAUGCAGCUUAUGUUUUUGUUGAUCAACAAAACUGAAAAGAUAGAUUUAUCCUUUUUCUAGCUGGCAUCUCUAUUGAGGAUCUCUUCGGUCACCCUAGCUUUUUAGCAAAAUGUAAAAGGUAAAACACAAGGAGGCAAACAAUCUUGUACGAGUUGCUUAAUUGAGAUAAAAUCUCACCUCUGCAACUGUUUCAAGUACUGAGCUGGCACUCACUCAAAAAGGAUACAAACAAUCUUGUACGAGCUGAGAUAUCUCACCUUUGCAAAUGUUUCUAAGGACUAAGCUGAAUGAAAUGAGUUCAAAUGGAUAGCUAGGAUCAUAUAGCAGACACCAACGCGGAAUUGAGGAGUAUUCAUCAAUGUCAUACUGCAGCACUCCCAGACUGAGGAGGUCGUUGAAACUAGCCUACUGGAUCAUGGAUGAGAUGAGCUCAGCUUGUAUAUUUUUGAACAUCAAACCUUCCUGUGACUUCUCACUCUCACCAUAAGUUUUGAGUUAUUAUACAUAAACAUUUCACGCUUCCACAGCAGAGUAUCUUCAUAAGGAUGUAUGAGGAUGAAGUCUUAAUUUAAUCCAACUAAAGUUGAUAUAA